GGCACAAACUCGAAGUAGUGUAGUUUAGUAGGGUCAGUUGAUCCUCCUAAUCUACUCUAUUUCAAAUUUGGGAUC
rnacentral:pre_miRNA from 1 species